rnacentral:rRNA from 1 species
UACGUAGGGGCCUAGCGUUGUCCGGAUUUAUUGGGCGUAAAGAGCUCGUAGGCGGUUUGGUAAGUCGGGUGUGAAAUCUCCACGCUCAACGUGGAGGGGCCACCCGAUACUGCCAUGACUGGAGUCCGGUAGGGGAGUGUGGAAUUCCCGGUGUAGCGGUGAAAUGCGCAGAUAUCGGGAGGAACACCGGUGGCGAAGGCGGCCUGCUGGGCAGUUGCUGACACUGAGGCGCGACAGCGUGGGGAGCAAACAGG